AUAGCGUAUGGAGGCGAAUGUUCUGAACUGAAACAUCUAAGUAGGAACAAGAAAAGAAAGAAAACUCGAUUCUCCAAGUAGCGGCGAGCGAACAGAGAACAGCCCAUUAAAGUAAGACUAAACUGAUAGACAAAUCUUAUGGAAAGAAGAACCAAAGAAAGUAACAGUCUUGUAGUCGAAAUCAGAAUAGAGACACUUUAAGAAGAGUACCACGGAGCACGUGAAAUUCUGUGGGAAGAUAGGGGGACCACCCCCUAAGGCUAAAUACUACCUGGUGACCGAUAGCGAAUAGUACCGUGAGGGAAAGGUGAAAAGAACCCCGGGAGGGGAGUGAAACAGAACCUGAAACCUUGCGCCUACAAGCAGACAGAGGAAGAAGACUUCUAAUGUCGUACUUUUUGUAGAACGGGCCAGCGAGUUACGAUACGUAGCAAGAUUAAACAUUUAAGAUGUGAAGUCGCAGGGAAACCGAGUCUUAAUAGGGCGAAAGUUAUGUGUUGUAGACCCGAAACCGGGUGAUCUAUCCAUGGGCAGAGUGAAGGUAAAGUAAAAUUUACUGGAGGCUCGAACCGGGUAGCGUUUAAAAGCUAUCGGAUGACCUGUGGAUAGGGGUGAAAAGCCAAUCGAACUCGGAUAUAGCUGGUUCUCCUCGAAAUAGCUUUAGGGCUAGCCUUGUUUUAGAUUACAGGAGGUAGAGCACUGAAUAGUCUAGGGGAAGUAAUUCUACCGAAACUUAUCAAACUCCGAAUGCCUGAAAAUCGAUGAACAGGAGUCAGACCAUGAGGGAUAAGCUUCAUAGUCAAAAGGGAAACAGCCCAGACCACCAGUUAAGGUCCCAAAAUACAGAUUAAGUGGGAAAGGAUGUAAUACUACUCAGACAACCAGGAUGUUGGCUCAGAAGCAGCCAUACAUUUAAAGAGUGCGUAAUAGCUCACUGGUCAAGUGGUAAUGCGCCGAAGAUGAACGGGGCUAAAUCUGAUACCGAAACUGUGGGAUAGAAAAGCAAUUAUGCGAGAAGUAUG
rnacentral:rRNA from 1 species